CAGUGGUUAGAAUGCAGUAUUGCAGGCUAAGUCUGCUGACUGACAGCAGUUCAAUCCUUACCAGCUCCAGAUUGACUCAGGCUUCCUUUCUUUCGAGGUGGGUAAAAUGAGGACCCAGAUUGUUGGGAGCAAUAUCCUGACUCUGUAAACUGCUUAGAGAGGGCUGCAAAUCAUUGUGAAGCCGCAUAUAAGAAAGUUCAAUUACUAUG